GGUCAUUUAGAGGAAGUAAAAGUCGUAACAAGGUUUCCGUAGGUGAACCUGCGGAAGGAUCAUUAUCGAAUAAACUUGAACAGGCUGUUGCUGGUCCCAGGACGAUGUGCACGCUUGUCAUCUUUAUCAUUUCUCCCAACUGUGCACGUAUUGUAGACCCUGGAUGGAGAGGUUUUGGAUUCGUUCCGAGUGGGGACUGCUGUGCUUCCGAAGAGAGGUCGGCUUUCCCUUUUCAUCCUCCAGGUCUAUGUCAUUCUUGUUCACAACCUUCAUGUCUAGAAUGUCGAGUAAAGGUCCUUUUUUGUACCUAUAAAAAAGUUAUACAACUUUCAGCAACGGAUCUCUUGGCUCUCGCAUCGAUGAAGAACGCAGCGAAAUGCGAUAAGUAAUGUGAAUUGCAGAAUUCAGUGAAUCAUCGAAUCUUUGAACGCAUCUUGCGCUCCUUGGUAUUCCGAGGAGCAUGCCUGUUUGAGUGUCAUUUAAAAUUCUCAAACCCACUUGACGUGGCUUUGGAUGUGGGGGCUUUUGUUUGCAGGCUUUUCUUCUCAAGUCUGCUCCCCUGAAAUGCAUUAGUGGUGUCUGGAGUGGAAACCGCUAGGUGUGAUAAUUAUCAUCUACGCCUUUGGGUAUGCCACAUGAAACAGAUUGUGCUGCUUCCAACACAACCUUUAUGACAAACUUGACCUCAAAUCGGGUAGGACUACCCGCUGAACUUAAGCAUAUCAAUAAGCGGAGGA
rnacentral:rRNA from 1 species